UUUGAUCCUGGCUCCAGGACGAAACGCUGGCGGCGUGCCUAACACAUGCAAGUCGAACGAGGUCCCAUGCAGUGGCAACACUGCGGACGACCUAGUGGCGAACGGGUGAGUAACACGUGAGGAACUUGCCCCGGAGACCCGGGAUAACCCUCCGAAAGGAGAGCUAAUACCGGAUGUCCUCACCGAGUCGCAUGGCUUGGUGAAGAAAUGGAUUCCGCUCCGGGAGAGCCUCGCGGCCUAUCAGCUUGUUGGUGGGGUAACGGCCCACCAAGGCAUCGACGGGUAGCUGGUCUGAGAGGACGAUCAGCCACACUGGGACUGAGACACGGCCCAGACUCCUACGGGAGGCAGCAGUGGGGAAUCUUGCGCAAUGGGCGAAAGCCUGACGCAGCAACGCCGCGUGCGGGAUGAAGGCCCUCGGGUUGUAAACCGCUUUCAGUGGGGACGAACCAAGACGGUACCCACAGAAGAAGCCCCGGCCAACUACGUGCCAGCAGCCGCGGUAACACGUAGGGGGCAAGCGUUGUCCGGAUUUAUUGGGCGUAAAGAGCUCGUAGGCGGUUCGGUAAGUCGGGUGUGAAACCUCCAGGCUCAACCUGGAGACGCCACCCGAUACUGCUGUGACUAGAGUCCAGUAGGGGAGCGUGGAAUUCCUGGUGUAGCGGUGAAAUGCGCAGAUAUCAGGAGGAACACCAGUGGCGAAGGCGGCGCUCUGGGCUGGAACUGACGCUGAGGAGCGAAAGCGUGGGGAGCGAACAGGAUUAGAUACCCUGGUAGUCCACGCCGUAAACGUUGGGUACUAGGUGUGGGGUCUUAUCAACGGAUUCCGUGCCGAAGCUAACGCAUUAAGUACCCCUAAAGGGGGAGUACGGCCGCAAGGCUAAAACUCAAAGGAAUUGACGG
rnacentral:rRNA from 1 species